CAGGGAUUGCCCCAGUAACGGCGAGUGAAGCGGCAAAAGCUCAAAUUUGAAAUCCUGCGGGAAUUGUAAUUUGAAGGUUUCGUGGUCUGAGUCGGCCGCGCCCAAGUCCAUUGGAACAUGGCGCCUGGGAGGGUGAGAGCCCCGUAUGGCGCACGCCGACUCUUUGCACCGCGGCUCCGACGAGUCGAGUUGUUUGGGAAUGCAGCUCUAAGUGGGUGGUAAAUUCCAUCUAAAGCUAAAUAUUGGCGAGAGACCGAUAGCGAACAAGUACAGUGAUGGAAAGAUGAAAAGCACUUUGAAAAGAGAGUGAAACAGCACGUGAAAUUGUUGAAAGGGAAGGGCUUGCAAGCAGACACGGUUUUACCGGGCCAGCGUCGAAAAGGGGGGAGGAACAAGAACUCGAGAAUGUGGCGCGCACCUUCGGGCGCGCGUGUUAUAGCUCGUGUUGACGCCUCCAUCCCUUUUCGAGGCCUGCGAUUCUAGGACGCUGGCGUAAUGGUUGCAAGCCGCCCGUCUUGAAACACGGACCUCCUGUGUGAAG
rnacentral:rRNA from 1 species